UACGUAGGGUGCAAGCGUUGUCCGGAAUUAUUGGGCGUAAAGAGCUCGUAGGCGGUUUGUCGCGUCGAAUGUGAAAACCCGGGGCUCAACCCCGGGCCUGCAUUCGAUACGGGCAGACUAGAGUUCGGUAGGGGAGUCUGGAAUUCCUGGUGUAGCGGUGAAAUGCGCAGGAUAUCAGGAGGAACACCGGUGGCGAAGGCGGGUCUCUGGGCCGAUACUGACGCUGAGGAGCGAAAGCGUGGGGAGCGAACAGG
rnacentral:rRNA from 1 species